AGGCUAAUUGAGGUCCCAGAUUGCCAUCACAUCAUAUGUACAAACAAGGCUAAUUGAGGUCCCAGAUUGCCAUCACAUCAUAUGUACAAACAAGGCUAAUUGAGGUCCCAGAUUGCCAUCACAUCAUAUGUACAAACAAGGCUAAUUGAGGUCCCAGAUUGCCAUCACAUCAUAUCUACAAACAUGGCUAAUUGAGAUCCCAGAUUGCCAUCACAUCAUAUGUACAAACAAGGCUAAUUGAGGUCCCAGAUUGCCAUCACAUCAUAUGUACAAACAAGGCUAAUUGAGGUCCCAGAUUGCCUUCACAUCAUAUGUACAAACAAGGCUAAUUGAGGUCCCAGAUUGCCAUCACAUCAUAUGUACAAACAAGGCUAAUUGAGGUCCCAGAUUGCCAUCACAUCAUAUCUACAAACAAGGCUAAUUGAGGUCCCAGAUUGCCAUCACAUCAUAUCUACAAACAAGGCUAAUUGAGGUCCCAAAUUGCCAUCACAUCAUAUGUACAAACAAGGCUAAUUGAGGUCCCAGAUUGCCAUCACAUCAUAUGUACAAACAAGGCUAAUUGAGGCCCCAGAUUGCCAUAACAUCAUAUGUACAAACAAGGCUAAUUGAGGUCCCAGAUUGCCAUCACAUCAUAUGUACAAACAAGGCUAAUUGAGGUCCCAGAUUGCCAUAACAUCAUAUCUAUAAACAAGGCUAAUUGAGGUCCCAGAUUGCCAUCACAUCAUAUGUACAAACAAGGCUAAUUGAGGUCUCAGAUUGCCAUCACAUCAUAUGUACAAACAAGGCUAAUUGAGGUCCCAGAUUGCCAUCACAUCAUAUGUACAAACAAGGCUAAUUGAGUCUCGCUCUUGGAGGGUGUAAUACAUGUGCGGGGACGAGUUUUGUCACAGAUCAGCCAGUGCAGUCCUCACAGGCUUAUCAGGAAGGACACUUUCUGCUUUUAUAGAUUUCUUCAUUUAUAGGAAGUCUCUUCUUAAUGAAGGUCCAGUUUAGGCUGAAAGUCAUGUCCUUGAUUAGUUUGUAUGGACUGCUCAUUCUAAUCUGGCACGACACUUAACCAAUAGCCACUUAGAUAAUCUUUUUAAGCAUUUGUAGUCCCUUAGAAAGUUUCAUUUAUAAAAAGGCUCAGUUUUAAAUUCCUUUCUGGCUUCCA